AAAAACCUGAGGCAUGAUGACUUAUUCCAGUUGGCACAGCUAGCAAAUGGGUCAGACAGCACUCCAACCACCACACUGCCCUCUGGUCCGUCCCUGCUACCUCUGGCUAUUUUAGGAGGGCCACAUGGUGCCCCAGAAAGAGCACCCAAGCCAGAACCUCUCUGAGAUGUAGGGCCUGGUGUUCCAGCCACACACUUUCUGUCUGUGUAACUCGGGGAGCUCUCUCUGGGAAACUGCCCCUUGCUUCACCCACUCCUGGCCUCCUGCUGUGCCAUUUCCAGGAAAGAAGCUACCAUGACCUCCUUCAUUGUUCAAGAACCCCAAGUUCUUGGGUCCAGCCUAAACCGUUCCUGGGACUGGAUGAAAAAUAUGUCUGUGGGCUCUGUUUUCCAUGACUGUAGGUAUGACUGGCCCUCUCCUUUCAGUGAAGAAGCCCUUUGUUGACCAGAGAGAAAGGGGCUGCAGUGGCCAACCCUUCCCUUCGGACUCAGCACUUCCUUGCUUAGUCUGAAAGGUCUUCAGUGCUUUGUCCCCUUUCCUUGAAGUUAGAAAGCAGCACAGAGUCCUGCAUGUCCACUUUCCUCCUCUCCCUCUGCUGGUGGCGACCCUCAGCAGGUAGGCAGCCCUGGGCAGCUCUGCCUCACUCCAGUUCCUCUAGCUCAUCAACCGAUCUCCUCGGUAGGAGUCAUUCACUGCGCUCCCGGUGAUUCACUCACAGGGGCUCAUUAACCUGUUUACCUCCCUGCCACUCUCCUGAGUAGGAGUGGCCCUGGAUCCCUCCCUCCUGCACGCCUGACAAAUUGUCCUCCAAUGACUGCUGCUCUGCCCGCUGGGCUCCCACCAGCUGCCCCCGACCCUGGGAGGUCUUUGCCUGAUCCCUACUUAAAGUGUAAUGGGUAAAAGAGCUUUGAAAUCAAACACACUAGGUUUGUGACUCAGCUGCUAACCUGAGAUGCCCUGGCUUUCCA
rnacentral:lncRNA from 10 species